AUUGAACGCUGGCGGCAUGCCUUACACAUGAAAGUCGAACGGCAGCACGGGAGCAAUCCUGGUGGCGAGUGGCGAACGGGUGAGUAAAGUAUCGGAACGUGCCCAGUCGUGGGGGAGAACGUAGCGAAAGUUACGCUAAUACCGCAUACGAUCUAUGGAUGAAAGCGGGGGAUCGCAAGACCUCGCACGAUUGGAGCUGCCGAUAUCAGCUUAGGUAGUUGGUGGGGUAAAGGCUGACCAAGACGACGAUCUAAAGCUGGUCUGAGAGGACAACCAGCGACACUGGAAAUGAGAUACGGGCCAGACUCCUACGGGACGCAGCAGUGGAGAAUUUUGGACAAGGGGCGUACGCCUGAUCCAGCCAUUCCGCGUGCAGGAUGAGGGCUCUCGGAUUGUAAACUUCUUUUGUACAGAACGAAAGGGUUUCUACUAAUACUAGGAGCUCAUGACGGUACUGUAAGAAUAAGCACCGGCUAACUACGUGCCAGCAGCCGCCGUAA
rnacentral:rRNA from 1 species